rnacentral:rRNA from 1 species
UCGGGAAUUUUGGGCAAUGGGCGAAAGCCUGACCCAGCAACGCCGCGUGAAGGAUGAAGUAUUUCGGUAUGUAAACUUCGUAAGAAUAGGAAGAAUAAAUGACGGUACUAUUUGUAAGGUCCGGCUAACUACGUGCCAGCAGCCGCGGUAAUACGUAGGGACCAAGCGUUGUUCGGAUUUACUGGGCGUAAAGGGCGCGUAGGCGGUUUGUCAAGUCAGUUGUGAAAUCUCCGAGCUUAACUCGGAACGGCCAACUGAUACUGUCACACUAGAGUACAGAAGGGGCAAUCGGAAUUCUUGGUGUAGCGGUGAAAUGCGUAGAUAUCAAGAGGAACACCUGAGGCGAAGGCGGGUUGCUGGGCUGAUACUGACGCUGAGGCGCGAAAGCUAGGGUAGCAAACGGGAUUAGAUACCCAUGUAGUCCUGAGCGGGCUGGCAAGGCGCAU